rnacentral:rRNA from 1 species
AAUCGGAAUUACUGGGCGUAAAGCGCGCGUAGGUGGCUUGAUAAGCCGGUUGUGAAAGCCCCGGGCUCAACCUGGGAACGGCAUCCGGAACUGUCAAGCUAGAGUGCAGGAGAGGAAGGUAGAAUUCCCGGUGUAGCGGUGAAAUGCGUAGAGAUCGGGAGGAAUACCAGUGGCGAAGGCGGCCUUCUGGACUGACACUGACACUGAGGUGCGAAAGCGUGGGUAGCAAACAGGAUUAGAUACCCUGGUAGUCCACGCCGUAAACGAUGUCGACCAGCCGUUGGGUGCCUAGCGCACUUUGUGGCGAAGUUAACGCGAUAAGUCGACCGCCUGGGGAGUACGGCCGCAAGGUUAAAACUCAAAUGAAUUGACGGGGGCCCGCACAAGCGGUGGAGCAUGUGGUUUAAUUCGAUGCAACGCGAAGAACCUUACCUACUCUUGACAUCCUGCGAAUUUGGUAGAGAUACCUUAGUGCCUUCGGGAACGCAGAGACAGGUGCUGCAUGGCUGUCGUCAGCUCGUGUUGUGAAAUGUUGGGUUAAGUCCCGUAACGAGCGCAACCCUUGUCCUUAUUUGCCAGCGCGUAAUGGCGGGAACUCUAAGGAGACUGCCGGUGACAAACCGGAGGAAGGUGGGGACGACGUCAAGUCAUCAUGGCCCUUACGAGUAGGGCUACACACGUGCUACAAUGGUCGGUACAAAGGGUUGCCAACUCGCGAGAGUGAGCCAAUCCCGAAAAGCCGAUCUCAGUCCGGAUCGGAGUCUGCAACUCGACUCCGUGAAGUCGGAAUCGCUAGUAAUCGUGGAUCAGAAUGCCACGGUGAAUACGUUCCCGGGCCUUGUACAC